rnacentral:rRNA from 1 species
UAGGGAAUCUUCGGCAAUGGACGAAAGUCUGACCGAGCAACGCCGCGUGAGUGAAGAAGGUUUUCGGAUCGUAAAACUCUGUUGUUAGAGAAGAACAAGGACGUUAGUAACUGAACGUCCCCUGACGGUAUCUAACCAGAAAGCCACGGCUAACUACGUGCCAGCAGCCGCGGUAAUACGUAGGUGGCAAGCGUUGUCCGGAUUUAUUGGGCGUAAAGCGAGCGCAGGCGGUUUCUUAAGUCUGAUGUGAAAGCCCCCGGCUCAACCGGGGAGGGUCAUUGGGAACUGGGAGACUUGAGUGCAGAAGAGGGGAGUGGAAAUCCAUGUGGAGCGGUGAAAUGCGUAGAUAUAAGGAGGAACACCAGUGGCGAAGGCGGCUCUGUGGUCUGUAACUGACGCUGAGGCUCGAAAGCGUGGGGAGCAAACAGG